rnacentral:rRNA from 1 species
UACGAAGGACCCGAGCGUUAUCCGGAUUUACUGGGUUUAAAGGGUGCGUAGGUGGACCUAUAAGUCAGUGGUGAAAUCCUGCAGCUUAACUGCAGAACUGCCAUUGAUACUGUUGGUCUUGAGUAUAGUUGAGGUAGGCGGAAUAUGUCAUGUAGUGGAUGAAAUACUUAGAUAUGACAUAGAACACCGAUUGCGAAGGCAGCUUGCUAAGCUAUAACUGACACUGAUGCACGAAAGCGUGGGGAGCAAACAGG